rnacentral:rRNA from 1 species
AGCGAACGCUGGCGGCAGGCUUAACACAUGCAAGUCGAACGGGCACUUCGGUGCUAGUGGCAGACGGGUGAGUAACACGUGGGAACGUACCUUUCGGUUCGGAAUAAUCCAGGGAAACUUGGACUAAUACCGGAUACGCCCUUCGGGGGAAAGAUUCAUCGCCGAUAGAUCGGCCCGCGUCUGAUUAGCUAGUUGGUGAGGUAAUGGCUCAUCAAGGCGACGAUCAGUAGCUGGUCUGAGAGGAUGAUCAGCCACAUUGGGACUGAGACACGGCCCAAACUCCUACGGGAGGCAGCAGUGGGGAAUAUUGGACAAUGGGCGCAAGCCUGAUCCAGCCAUGCCGCGUGAGUGAUGAAGGCCUUAGGGUUGUAAAGCUCUUUUGUCCGGGAAGAUAAUGACUGUACCGGAAGAAUAAGCCCCGGCUAACUUCGUG